rnacentral:rRNA from 1 species
UACGAGGGGGGCGAGCGUUGUUCGGAAUUAUUGGGCGUAAAGGGUGCGUAGGCGGUUUGAUAAGUCUUGUGUGAAAUCUCUGGGCUCAACCCAGAGUCUGCAUAGGAAACUGUCGGGCUUGAGUAUGGGAGAGGUGAGUGGAAUUUCCGGUGUAGCGGUGAAAUGCGUAGAUAUCGGAAGGAACACCUGUGGCGAAAGCGGCUCACUGGACCAUUACUGACGCUGAUGCACGAAAGCUAGGGGAG